GGUUGUUUGGCCGAGUGGUCCAAGGCGCCAGUUUAAGGCACUGGUCUGAGAGGGCGUGGGUUCGAACCCCACAGCAACCA
rnacentral:tRNA from 1 species